rnacentral:rRNA from 1 species
UGGGGAAUAUUGGACAAUGGGCGCAAGCCUGAUCCAGCCAUGCCGCGUGAGUGAUGAAGGCCCUAGGGUUGUAAAGCUCUUUCACCGGUGAAGAUAAUGACGGUAACCGGAGAAGAAGCCCCGGCUAACUUCGUGCCAGCAGCCGCGGUAAUACGAAGGGGGCUAGCGUUGUUCGGAUUUACUGGGCGUAAAGCGCACGUAGGCGGACUUUUAAGUCAGGGGUGAAAUCCCGGGGCUCAACCCCGGAACUGCCUUUGAUACUGGAAGUCUUGAGUAUGGUAGAGGUGAGUGGAAUUCCGAGUGUAGAAGUGAAAUUCGUAGAUAUUCGGAGGAACACCAGUGGCGAAGGCGGCUCACAGGACCAUUACUGACGCUGAGGUGCGAAAGCGUGGGGAGCAAACAGG